rnacentral:rRNA from 1 species
AUUGAACGCUGGCGGCAUGCCUUACACAUGCAAGUCGAACGGCAGCACGGGUGCUUGCCCCUGGUGGCGAGUGGCGAACGGGUGAGUAAUACAUCGGAACAUGUCCUGUAGUGGGGGAUAGCCCGGCGAAAGCCGGAUUAAUACCGCAUACGAUCUACGGAUGAAAGCGGGGGACCUUCGGGCCUCGCGCUAUAGGGUUGGCCGAUGGCUGAUUAGCUAGUUGGUGGGGUAAAGGCCUACCAAGGCGACGAUCAGUAGCUGGUCUGAGAGGACGACCAGCCACACUGGGACUGAGACACGGCCCAGACUCCUACGGGAGGCAGCAGUGGGGAAUUUUGGACAAUGGGCGGAAGCCUGAUCCAGCAAUGCCGCGUGUGUGAAGAAGGCCUUCGGGUUGUAAAGCACUUUUGUCCGGAAAGAAAUCCUUGGCCCUAAUACGGUCGGGGGAUGACGGUACCGGAAGAAUAAGCACCGGCUAACUACGUG